UGACCGCUGGCGGUAGGCCUAACACAUGCAAGUCGAACGGCAGCACAGUAAGAGCUUGCUCUUACGGGUGGCGAGUGGCGGACGGGUGAGGAAUACAUCGGAAUCUACUUUUUCGUGGGGGAUAACGUAGGGAAACUUACGCUAAUACCGCAUACGACCUACGGGUGAAAGCAGGGGAUCUUCGGACCUUGCGCGAUUGAAUGAGCCGAUGUCGGAUUAGCUAGUUGGCGGGGUAAAGGCCCACCAAGGCGACGAUCCGUAGCUGGUCUGAGAGGAUGAUCAGCCACACUGGAGCUGAGACACGGUCCAGACUCCUACGGGAGGCAGCAGUGGGGAAUAUUGGACAAUGGGCGCAAGCCUGAUCCAGCCAUACCGCGUGGGUGAAGAAGGCCUUCGGGUUGUAAAGCCCUUUUGUUGGGAAAGAAAAGCAGCAGGUUAAUACCCCGCUGUUCUGACGGUACCCAAAGAAUAAGCACCGGCUAACUUCGUG
rnacentral:rRNA from 1 species